rnacentral:rRNA from 1 species
GGGUUGUGAGGUUAAGCGACUAAGCGUACACGGUGGAUGCCCUGGCAGUCAGAGGCGAUGAAGGACGUGCUAAUCUGCGAUAAGCGUCGGUAAGGUGAUAUGAACCGUUAUAACCGGCGAUUUCCGAAUGGGGAAACCCAGUGUGUUUCGACACACUAUCAUUAACUGAAUCCAUAGGUUAAUGAGGCGAACCGGGGGAACUGAAACAUCUAAG